CUACGGGGCGCAGCAGUGAGGAAUAUUGCACAAUGGGGGGAACCCUGAUGCAGCAACGCCGCGUGGAGGAUGACGCAUUUCGGUGUGUAAACUCCUUUUAUAUGUCAAGAAAAUGACGGUAGCAUAUGAAUAAGCACCGGCUAACUCCGUGCCAGCAGCCGCGGUAAUACGGAGGGUACAAGCGUUACUCGGAAUCACUGGGCGUAAAGGACGCGUAGGCGGGUUGGAAAGUCAGGUGUGAAAUCCUACAGCUUAACUGUAGAACUGCACUUGAAACUUCUAAUCUAGAGUAUGGGAGGGGGAGAUGGAAUUAGUGGUGUAGGGGUAAAACCCGUAGAUAUCACUAGGAAUACCUAAAGCGAAGGCGAUCUCCUGGAACAUUACUGACGCUAAGGCGUGAAAGCGUGGGGAGCAAACAGGAUUAGAUACCCUGGUAGUC
rnacentral:rRNA from 1 species